rnacentral:sRNA from 1 species
GGCGAAGCCGACGGAGGGGGAAGACGCCGGCUAGCCCGAACUCCCCCCUCCGGCCUUCGGCCG